CACGUGGAUAACCUACCUAUAAGACUGGGAUAACUUCGGGAAACCGGAGCUAAUACCGGAUAACAUAUUGAACCGCAUGGUUCAAUAGUGAAAGGCGGCUUUGCUGUCACUUAUAGAUGGAUCCGCGCCGUAUUAGCUAGUUGGUAAGGUAACGGCUUACCAAGGCGACGAUAGGUAGCCGGCCUGAGAGGGUGAACGGCCACACUGGAACUGAGACACGGUCCAGACUCCUACGGGAGGCAGCAGUGGGGAAUAUUGCACAAUGGAGGAAACUCUGAUGCAGCGACGCCGCGUGAAUGA
rnacentral:rRNA from 1 species